AGUGAACGCUGGCGGUAGGCCUAACACAUGCAAGUCGAACGGCAGCACAGUAAGAGCUCGCCCUUACGGGUGGCGAGUGGCGGACGGGUGAGGAAUACAUCGGAAUCUACUUUUUCGUGGGGGAUAACGUAGGGAAACUUACGCUAAUACCGCAUACGACCUACGGGUGAAAGCAGGGGAUCUUCGGACCUUGCGCGAUUGAAUGAGCCGAUGUCGGAUUAGCUAGUUGGCGGGGUAAAGGCCCACCAAGGCGACGAUCCGUAGCUGGUCUGAGAGGAUGAUCAGCCACACUGGAACUGAGACACGGUCCAGACUCCUACGGGAGGCAGCAGUGGGGAAUAUUGGACAAUGGGCGCAAGCCUGAUCCAGCCAUACCGCGUGGGUGAAGAAGGCCUUCGGGUUGUAAAGCCCUUUUGUUGGGAAAGAAAAGCAGCAGGUUAAUACCCCGCUGUUCUGACGGUACCCAAAGAAUAAGCACCGGCUAACUUCGUG
rnacentral:rRNA from 1 species